GUGAGGAAUAUUGGUCAAUGGACGAAAGUCUGAACCAGCCAUGCCGCGUGCAGGAUGACAGCCUUCUGGGUUGUAAACUGCUUUUAUACAAGAACAAAAAGUCCCUGCGGGGAAAAUUGAGGGUACUGUAUGAAUAAGCACCGGCUAACUCCGUGCCAGCAGCCGCGGUAAUACGGAGGGUGCAAGCGUUGUCCGGAUUUAUUGGGUUUAAAGGGUGCGUAGGCGGUUUGAUAAGUCAGUGGUGAAAGUCUUCGGCUCAACCGAAGGAUUGCCAUUGAAACUGUCAGACUCGAGUUCAAUCGAGGUAUGCGGAAUUUAUGGUGUAGCGGUGAAAUGCAUAGAUACCAUAAAGAACACCGAUAGCGUAGGCAGCAUACUAGAUUGGUACUGACGCUGAGGCACGAAAGCGUGGGGAGCGAACAGG
rnacentral:rRNA from 1 species